rnacentral:lncRNA from 1 species
CUGAUCCUCACCACCUCAGGGCCAAUCCUCACAACUGGAUCCUCUCCUGCAGCUCCUGGCACUGUCACUCCUGCCCAGGGGACAGGAACAAAGAUAGGGACAUGGGAUAGGGCCGGCUCUGGAGAGGGGCUGCCUUGCUCUGCCAGUGAUAAAUCUAGCGGUCCCCUCGCUUUUUCAUCACUUGCCUAAUCCCGUGCCCUUCUUUUCAUGUGCCGUAAUUGCUCCCAGCUGCUCCCACAGCCCAACCGUGCAGAGAUUGUGAACAAGGCCCUGCAGAACAAUGGCAAUGGCUGCUCCGCGUUGCCUCUGGCCUGUGCCUCCUGCAGCCCACAUCUGCCCUGCUGUAUCCCAUUUGGGGAGCGGGCCUGUCCCCCUGACCUUGCUCCAGGCUGAGGAGGGUCCUGGGAGGCACAGUGCCCCUAAAACAAUAGCAAAUGUUACGAGAAAAAAAGCAAAACGACAACGUCGCCAUUGCCAGGGAGAGAGCAGCCCUCAGGUUGGAUUCCACACGCGCUGAUCCCCAUAGGCCAUGAUGUGACCAGAGCCUUCAAGAUCAGCCCUUCACCUUCUAACAUGAGUUCUUCCUCCCCUCCCCAAUCAUUUUUCCCCCUGAGAAAGGCUGCAUUCUUUCCCAAGUUAAUUGUAUCUUUCUGGGUUGGAUAAGGCAUAUCUCGUUAGAGGGGGAGAGGGGUUUAAUGUGAACUUCAAGCUGAUGUCUUCAUGCUACAGAAAGGAGAUUCCUAAUCAGUACAGUAUAUAUUUUCUAUAAUUGCCCUUUGGCAUUCCUUGUCUUUCCUGGCUAAUUAAAGUGAAAGAAGACUGUGGUGAAAUGUUCCAGUGUGUUUUCAUAGGAACAGAAAAACUAAAAACCCCUUUUGUUUAGAAAUGCGGGGUUAUCUUAAUGGUCCAGAGGGUCAGCUGUUCUCACAGGUACACUGCUAAAAUGUAGUACUAUUUUUCUUUCUGAAGCACGGCUGCAGCUCUGGGAGCAGCUCUGGGAGGCUGCACAGGAAUGCGGUCCCAUCUCACAGUGUGACAGCCCUAGACCAAGGUACAAAGGCAUCUGAAGGAUUUUAAGAGCAAUCCCUCCACAGGAAUGGCUUGAAUGUAUUCACAGUGCCACACACCUCCAGAAAGCAGGAUGUGCUUCUUAUUAGCAGCUGAGGACGGCUUGCUGAAAGGCUGCCAGCAUUUUCUUAUGAGAGAGAGCAUUACAUGCACUUAGUGAGUACAUGUGCAUAUAUAGAUAUAUAUAUUUCUAAUGUGUAUGUAAUGUUGUUUCUUGGCAUUUAUUUGGGGAAGGCUAGGUGGCACUGGGCAGUUCGUGCUGUGUCAGUUCUUAUUUGCUCUCACGUUCUUCUGUUUAUGUGAAUGCUCACACUGCAUGGAGCAAUGUCCUCUGCUACUGAGGGCAAGAAACCUCUCAGGUCCUCAUGGAGCCAAACGGAGAGGAAACAGGACAAGAAGGACACACAGGUCCAGAAGAGUGCCACAGAAAUGACCCAAGGGAUGGAACACCUCCCUACAAGGACAAGCUGAGAGAGCUGGGGCUGUUCAGUCUGGAGAAGAGAAGGCUCUGAAGAGACCUAAGGGCAACCUGUCAGUAUCUAAAGGUGGGCUACAAGAAAGAGGGGGACAGACUCUUUAGCGGGGUCUGUUGUGAUAGGAAAAGGGAAAUGGUUUCAAACUAAAAAAGAGGAGGUUUAGGUUGGAUAUAUAUAUAUAUAUUUUUUACAAUAAGAGCAGUGAAGCACCGGCACAGGUUUUCCAGACAGGUGGUGGAUGCCCCAUCCCUGGAGACAUUCAGAGUCCAUCUGGACAGGGCACUGAGCACCUGAUUGAGCUGUAGGUAUCCAUAGCAAGAGAGUUGGACCAGGCGGCCUUUAAAUCCUACUUCCAGCUCAAGCAAUUCUAUGAUUCUAUGAUCAUUCUCACAGUUUCAGGAACUCUGCCUAUAAGAUGCCUGUGUGCCACCUCAUCUUAUUCUUGCAAUGUGAUCUUCCUGUAUCUUUUACUCAAUAACACCUCUGUGCAAGUUUUCAUUAUUUGUUCUUGAGGUAGUACUAAAAAUAUCUCUUUUUUUCCCCUCUUCCUGAGCACUUUUUUAAAGAGAGCAGUUUUAUUUCUUGCCCUGAACCCAAUCUCACUGGAGGGGCAGGAAGGAACAUGCUCACCUGUGUGUCCUAUCCCCACUCUCCACUGUCUGCUUUUGUCUCUGGUGCGGUUUCGCUUCUGCUGGAUGACACAUGAAGGCCAUGUGUGGCCCAGCAGACCAUCUGAACACAGAGGUACUUCAGUGGCUCAACUGGGACAUGUCUCUGCACAUCACACAUUCCCUGUUAGGAAUCAGGUCAGUUUGCACCAAACUGGAGAAAAUCCUGAAGUUGCAGAUAGUGCCCUUUGCUACAAGGCUGCCAUCCCUUUUCCCCUUCGAAACAGCUGAAACGUCUGAAAUAGCAGCUGUUGAAUUUAUUUUCCCUUUACACAGCCUCUUUCUAAGGGAAACUGGACUGAUUAGUACCCAUUUGCUGGGUUCUGCUGCAUUAUGACACUAACAUGUGGCAUCAUUUCAAACCAGGUGGGAUUUUCUUUAAAGCAAUCUUUGGUGACAAAAAAAAUAAUAAAAAAUAAGAAAAUGUAGUUUUAGCUAAGCAAAAUGCAUUUUAAUAUGCAUUUCCCACGGCCCUGAUGUGAGAUGUAUCUUCUAAGUGCAGUACAUCACCUCAUGUCAGCAGUUAGACUCGAUGAUCCUUAUGGGUCUCUUCCAACUUGGGAUAUUCUAUGACUCUAUGAUUCUGCUGCUGUGCUCACAGACCACAUGCAGCAGCCAUCUGCAGCCUGAGCUUCUCCUCCUGCUCUAUCAUGAUGUCCAUCUGAGCCGGAGCAAUCCCCCAGCCCUACACCUCACAGCCCCAUCACACUGCAUCCCAGUGCACAGCAGUGGAAGGCAAGGGAGGGGCUUCAAAGGCGCUGGUCUCACAAUGGAGUUGGAGUAACUAGCUGCUGACAGAUUUAUAGGCUUCAGUCCAAUUAAAGUGCUGUUUAUUGCUUUUAGAAGGGGCCUGUUUGUUUCUAAUUUUAGAAGUAGGUUGGGGAAGUGACUAGAAUUGUGAGUAAGGGACCUGAGAUUUUUCACUAGGGCUUCUGGUGCUAUUCAUUAAUAGGAGUUGUUGAUAAUUAUUUAGCCUGGGACCUCAACCAACCACGGCAGGGCAGAAAUUCAGGGCAGCACCCAAAAAGCAGCGAAAGGGCUUUCCUUUGCUCCCCCUGCCCUGCUACAUCUGCUGAUUUUGGUGUGUGUUCGACCAGCCACUUUGUAAAGAGCUCCCCUUGUUCCCUAUGCAUCUCUUCCGCUCUCUCAAGUUGAUUCAUUUUAUGUGCUCCUUUUAAAGAGAAUAAAAAGUACGCCGGUGUGAAUGAUUGUUCCUAUCUCUGGCCAGCAGCGAUAGGAACCUUGGGCCAAUUGCCAGAAGGAAGUGGAGAAAUAACAAAUCUUGCCUGCGAGAUGAAAUCAGAGCUGGAAUCGGGAUUCCUGUGUUGUGCCCCUAAGUUUGCGCAGUUUUGCUGUACAGUGGUGGGAAGCCCCUUUGAUGUCAGCUUCCCACUGUCUAGAAAAGCUGCAAUAUAAAGUUAUUGUAAAACUUGGUUAUUUGUUU